ACUGGGAAACUUGAGUGCAGAAGAGGAGAGUGGAAUUCCACGUGUAGCGGUGAAGUGCGUAGAGAUGUGGAGGAACACCAGUGGCGAAGGCGACUCUCUGGUCUGUAACUGACGCUGAGGCGCGAAAGCGUGGGGAGCGAACAGGAUUAGAUACCCUGGUAGUCCACGCCGUAAACGAUGAGUGCUAAGUGUUAGAGGGUUUCCGCCCUUUAGUGCUGCAGCUAACGCAUUAAGCACUCCGCCUGGGGAGUACGGUCGCAAGACUGAAACUCAAAGGAAUUGACGGGGGCCCGCACAAGCGGUGGAGCAUGUGGUUUAAUUCGAAGCAACGCGAAGAACCUUACCAGGUCUUGACAUCCUCUGACAACCCUAGAGAUAGGGCUUUCCCCUUCGGGGGACAGAGUGACAGGUGGUGCAUGGUUGUCGUCAGCUCGUGUCGUGAGAUGUUGGGUUAAGUCCCGCAACGAGCGCAACCCUUGAUCUUAGUUGCCAGCAUUCAGUUGGGCACUCUAAGGUGACUGCCGGUGACAAACCGGAGGAAGGUGGGGAUGACGUCAAAUCAUCAUGCCCCUUAUGACCUGGGCUACACACGUGCUACAAUGGAUGGUACAAAGGGCUGCAAAACCGCGAGGUUAAGCGAAUCCCAUAAAACCAUUCUCAGUUCGGAUUGCAGGCUGCAACUCGACCCCAUGAAGUCGGAGUCGCUAGUAAUCGCAGAUCAGCAACGCUGCGGUGAUACGUUCCCGGGCCUU
rnacentral:rRNA from 1 species